rnacentral:lncRNA from 1 species
UAAUUAUUUUAAUAUGGAAAUUCGGCCAAGGGUCUUUUAUUUGGGACUCUUGGACUGAAUAUAAAAAUUUAAACUAAGUAAAAUAAAUAAAUAAAUAAAUAAAAAUAAAACUUUACAACUUGGGCCACUUUGACAAUUUGGCCUGAUUUUUAACUAAGUAUGGGUGGAUUUCUUGAUUGGGCUUGGAAUCUUCUUAUUGGGCCUUGCCCUCAAGAAUUUGGGCUUUUGUGACUCGUAUCA